GUAUAUAUAGCUCAAGUGGUAGAGCGCAUGCUUAGCAUGCACGAGGUCCUGGGUUCAAUCCCCAGUACCUCCU
rnacentral:tRNA from 1 species